rnacentral:lncRNA from 1 species
UUUUUUUUUUUUUUUUUUUUUUUUUUUUUUAGGGCCAUACCCUUAGCUAGGGGUCCAAUCAGAGCUAUAGUUGCCAGCCUACACCACAGUCACAGCAAUGCCAGAUCUGAGAAACCACUGAGCAAGGCCAGGGAUUGAACCCACAUCCUCAUGGAUCUCAUUGGGUUUGUUAACUGUUGAGCCACGAUGGGAACUCCAGUCAUAUUUUUUUUUAAUAUGAGCUGGAUCUUAGAAUUACUUAGAGGGUUUUUAUUUAAAUAAAUUUUACUCUCAAAGAUUCUGAUUUAAUUUAAUUGGUUUGGGGCCCCGCCAUUGGUAUUUUUUAAACACUCCCACAGAUGAGUAUGAUGUUCAAGUAAGACUGAGACCCAUUUCUCUAAUAGACAACAGCUGCACAUGUAGGUAACCACCUCUAUAAAAUAAACAGAACCAAUAGGUCAUGAAGAAAAUUGUGCCCAUAGGAGAAAUCUAUUAAUUUUCUACCCCUUGUCAAUAAUCAUCUGAGUAACGAGCUUUAUUUAUUUCCAACAUAUAUGUAUUAAUCCUUUAUUGCAAGGGUUACAUAUCAGAAGAAAUAUUUUUAAAAUAUUAUCUGAAAUAAUUUGUGUUCCAAGUUGAAUAAAAAUUAUCCCAGAGCUGGAAGAUUAGAAUUACCUGAGGUAGAGAGAAGAAAAGCUGGCUCAUGAAUGCUGUUCAGUGUUGUAUCUGUGUCUCACAGGGUAUGUAACCUCAAGAUGCCACUGUGGUUUUCCCUCCUUUUAAAAAUUCUUCUUUUUGACUUUUAAAAAAUAGCAGUUUCAGAUGAGAGAAAUAUGUAGGUGAAAAUUCACCAAAGAAGUUGCUGGCUAUUCAUAGGUAUUGGAUUUCCUGUCCCCUCCCUACAUAGGAAUCCUUUUUGUGGCCAGAUUUGCUCCCUCCUCCUGCCUCCCCACAUCCAGUCCUGUGAAGGUGGCACUGAAAUCUUACCUGCCAUGACAGCUUUGGGAGGAGAUUGGCCAGAAAAUCCCCAUCAGCCACUUGGGUUUAGGACUUAAUGCUGAAUUGGAGAAUUCAGACUAAUAAGCCUUCUGCCCUGAAGUUGUUUCCUAUAUGUUGCUAUAAGAUAUAAAUAGGCAUCUGUUUAAAACCACCUGAAGAUUUAUGUGAACUUUCAGAGAUUAUUGAAUCAAGACUUUCAGAAAUGAAAAUGAUGGAAGUGGAUAAGCAGGAAAAAUACAUUCUCUUAAGCAAUGACUCAGACAUGGAAGAGUUUGACAAAAGUAAAGUUACAGUGAUGCAGGAAACUCAAAAAGGGUAAGUGUUAUGAUCUGUGGAUAGACUAAUUUUAUUCAAAACUGACUGCCUGAUAUACGGCUAUAUGUUUAUAUGUGGACAUAAGAGUAAAUGAAGACUCAGAAAUUCUAUCUAUAGACAUAUGAAGGUAUGAGCUACAUGACAAUAAAAUAUUUUAUUUAAGCACUGGAAUAUGAGAUAGUGGGGUGUUUUAUUAUCAUAUGUAGUUGCUAAGUGAUUCUAAUAAUUUUGAAGAGAAUAUUUAUUAAACGUGUGGUUAUUUCUCAGAUUACCUGUCUCUAAACAGAAAGGUAUCAACAUUAAAAAAAACUUGUUUCUUAUGCCUUGCCUACUCAGAUUUAAUCUAUGGCUACUCUAAAUCUGUUCAUUUAGAGCCAAGCAUAACAAAAAAAUAAAAAAUAAAAACCAUGUGGUUUUUGUCCAAUAUGGAUUAGCUGUAAAUAAGGUCAUUUCGGAAUGUUUGUCACCAGGAGUCUUCUUUUAUUUUUCCGAAUCAUAGGUGUAUAGAAGGGCUAAAAUUGAACCACUUUGGGUUCACAGAGAUUUGACAUUUAUAAGCGCUUGGGUUUAGACCUUGUAUCAGACUAAUUGGCCAAAUAUGAUAAGACAAUGUUUCAAGCUAAUUUAUAUAUUUCCAUUUUACAAUCAUUUUAUUUUUAAUUUUCUGCCCGUCACUUUCUUUCAAACUUAUCACUUAGUCUUUAAAAGCAAACUGAUUACAAUCCUUCGGGAAAAUAGCUCCAAAUUGCAAACAAUAAUGACAGACAGUUUCAGAGAUUUCAGCUCGUCUAUGAAAAAAGGCUAAUUCUACACAAGGGAAAGACAUUUAGAUUAAAAAACUGCAGACAGCAAUGAAAGUGAGACACAGAUUGGUGUAGAAUAUAAUACCAGCCUAAAUUCUUAGCUUUGCUUUUAGUAAUUUUCUGUAAUGUGAAGGCUGCAAAUGAUUCACACGUGUUUUUAUGGAAAAUAGUUAUAGGUGCUUUUAGUAAAUUACCUCACUCCACCAUGUGACGACAUUAACUUUCAAUGUCUAUUUGCAUUAAGCCUCUGUUAUCAAAAGAGGCUGCAGGUAAAUACAAUCCCAAGUGUAAUCCUAGUGAUUUUUCAGGAUGUGCUUGGGUCAUUAACUCUCCAUGAAUCUUGCUGAUAAAAAAAAAAAAAA